rnacentral:rRNA from 1 species
GAUGAACGCUGGCGGCGUGCCUAAUACAUGCAAGUCGAACGGACGGACGAGAAGCUUUCUUCUCUGAUGUUAGCGUGGGAGGGGGGAGUAGAACGUAGAUAAACUAGCUAUAUGACUGGGAUUACUUCGGGAAAACGGGGAUAAAUACCGAAAACAAUUUGAACCUCAUGGUUGAAAAUUGAAAGACGGUCUUGCGGUCACUGAUCCGUGGCUCGGGGCUGCAUUAGGUAGUUGGUAGGGUAACGGAUUACCAAGGCAACGAUGCAUAGCCGACCUGAGAGGGUGAUCGGCCAAACUGGAACUGAGACACGGCCCAGACUCCUACGGGAGGCAGCAGUGGGGAAUCUUGGGCAAUGGGCGAAAGCCUGACGGAGCAAUGCCGCGUGAGUGAUGAAGGUCUUCGGAUCGUAAAACACUGUUAUUGGGGAAGAACAGAGGUGUAAUUAAAUGUGCACAUCAUGACGGUACCUAAUCAGAAAGCCACGGCUAACUACGUG